rfam:Brachypodium distachyon strain Bd21 chromosome 3, whole genome shotgun sequence.
AACCUACUCCCUCCGUCCCAUAUUAAGUGACUUUCUAUUACAUGUAUCUAGACACUUUUUAGGCAUCGAUACAUCCAUAUUUGGAUAAAUUUGAGUCACUUAAUAUGGGACGGAGGGAGUAAAUU